GACGAACGCUGGCGGCGUGCUUAACACAUGCAAGUCGAACGAUAAGGCCCUUCGGGGUACACGAGUGGCGAACGGGUGAGUAACACGUGGGUGAUCUGCCCUGCACUUCGGGAUAAGCCUGGGAAACUGGGUCUAAUACCGGAUAGGACCCUGGGAUGCAUGUCCUGGGGUGGAAAGCUUUUGCGGUGUGGGAUGGGCCCGCGGCCUAUCAGCUUGUUGGUGGGGUGAUGGCCUACCAAGGCGACGACGGGUAGCCGGCCUGAGGGGGUGACCGGCCACACUGGGACUGAUAUACGGCCCAGGCUCCUACGGGAGGCAGCAGUGGGGAAUAUUGCACAAUGGGCGCAAGCCUGAUGCAGCGACGCCGCGUGAGGGAUGACGGCCUUCGGGUUGUAAACCUCUUUCAGCACCGACGAAGCGCAAGUGACGGUAGGUGCAGAAGAAGGACCGGCCAACUACGUGCCAGCCGCCGCAGUAA
rnacentral:rRNA from 1 species